AUGCCGGAGUGCUUGCACUUUGGCAGACUGAGUGGCGGACGGGUGAGUAACGCGUGGGUAACCUGCCUUAUACAGGGGGAUAACAGUUGGAAACGACUGCUAAUACCGCAUAAGCCCACGGUACCGCAUGAUACUGAGGGAAAAGGAUUUAUUCGCUUUAGGAUGGACUCGCGUCCAAUUAGCUAGUUGGUGAGGUAACGGCUCACCAAGUCGACGAUCGGUAGCCGGACUGAGAGGUUGAACGGCCACAUUGGGACUGAGACACGGCCCAGACUCC
rnacentral:rRNA from 1 species